rnacentral:rRNA from 1 species
UCUUGGGGUUGUAGGACACUCUAUACGGAGUUACAAAAGAAAGUUAUAAAUGAAGCGGUCUGGAAAGGCCCGCCAAAGACGGUAACAGCCCGGUAGUUGAAAUGGCUUUCCCUCCAGAGUGGAUCCUGAGUACGGCGGAACACGUGAAAUUCCGUCGGAAUCCGGGAGGACCAUCUCCCAAGGCUAAAUACUCCCUAGUGACCGAUAGUGAACCAGUACCGUGAGGGAAAGGUGAAAAGCACCCCGGAAGGGGAGUGAAACAGUUCCUGAAACCGUGUGCCUACAAGUAGUUAGAGCCCGUUAAUGGGUGAUAGCGUGCCUUUUGUAGAAUGAACCGGCGAGUUACGAUUUGUUGCAAGGUUAAGCGGAAAAAGCGGAGCCGUAGCGAAAGCGAGUCUGAAUAGGGCGCAUAAGUAACAGGUCGUAGACCCGAAACCAGGUGAUCUACCCAUGUCCAGGAUGAAGGUAAGGUAAUACUUACUGGAGGUCCGAACCCACGCACGUUGAAAAGUGCGGGGAUGAGGUGUGGGUAGCGGAGAAAUUCCAAUCGAACUUGGAGAUAGCUGGUUCUCUCCGAAAUAGCUUUAGGGCUAGCCUCGAGGUAAAGAGUCAUGGAGGUAGAGCACUGUUUGGACUAGGGGCCCUUCUCGGGUUACCGAAUUCAGAUAAACUCCGAAUGCCAUGUACUUAUACUCGGGAGUCAGACUGCGAGUGAUAAGAUCCGUAGUCGAAAGGGAAACAGCCCAGACCACCAGUUAAGGUCCCCAAAUAUAUGUUAAGUGGAAAAGGAUGUGGGGUUGCUUAGACAACCAGGAUGUUGGCUUAGAAGCAGCCACCAUUGAAAGAGUGCGUAAUAGCUCACUGGUCGAGUGACCCCGCGCCGAAAAUGUACCGGGGCUAAACAUAUUAC